rnacentral:rRNA from 1 species
CUCCUCCUACGGGACGCAGCAGUGAGGAAUAUUGGUCAAUGGGCGGGAGCCUGAACCAGCCAAGCCGCGUGAGGGAAGAAGGUACAGCGUAUCGUAAACCUCUUUUGUCAGGGAACAAAGGCGGGGACUAGUCCCCGGAUGAGGGUACCUGAAGAAAAAGCAUCGGCUAACUCCGUGCCAGCAGCCGCGGUAAUACGUAGGGGGCAAGCGUUAUCCGGAUUUACUGGGUGUAAAGGGAGCGUAGACGGUUGUAUAAGUCUGGAGUGAAAGCCCGGGGCCCAACCCCGGGACUGCUUUGGAAACUG